ACGCUGCGGCAGCUACACAUGCAAGUCGAGCGGUAGAGAGAAGCUUGCUCUCUGAGAGCGGCGGACGGGUGAGUAAAGCCUAGGAAUCUGCCUGGUAGUGGGGGAUAACGUUCGGAAACGGACGCUAAUACCGCAUACGUCCUACGGGAGAAAGCAGGGGACCUUCGGGCCCUGCGCUAUCAGAUGAGCCUAGGUCGGAUUAGCUAGUUGGUGAGGUAAUGGCUCACCAAGGCGACGAUCCGUAACUGGUCUGAGAGGAUGAUCAGUCACACUGGAACUGAGACACGGUCCAGACUCCUACGGGAGGCAGCAGUGGGGAAUAUUGGACAAUGGGCGAAAGCCUGAUCCAGCCAUGCCGCGUGUGUGAAGAAGGUCUUCGGAUUGUAAAGCACUUUAAGUUGGGAGGAAGGGCAUUAACCUAAUACGUUAGUGUUUUGACGUUACCGACAGAAUAAGCACCGGCUAACUCUGUGCCAGCAGCCGCGGUAAUACAGAGGGUGCAAGCGUUAAUCGGAAUUACUGGGCGUAAAGCGCGCGUAGGUGGUUUGUUAAGUUGGAUGUGAAAUCCCCGGGCUCAACCUGGGAACUGCAUUCAAAACUGACUGACUAGAGUGUGGUAGAGGGUGGUGGAAUUUCCUGUGUAGCGGUGAAAUGCGUAGAUAUAGGAAGGAACACCAGUGGCGAAGGCGACCACCUGGACCAACACUGACACUGAGGUGCGAAAGCGUGGGGAGCAAACAGGAUUAGAUACCCUGGUAGUCCACGCCGUAAACGAUGUCAACU
rnacentral:rRNA from 1 species